UUUCAUGAUGAGAAUCUUCGUGAUUAGCUCUAGAUCAAGAGCUGCUUCUGCAGCGAUGAGCGACAUUUUGCAUGUAUUACCUGACUU
rnacentral:snoRNA from 1 species